UACGGGAGGCAGCAGUGGGGAAUAUUGCACAAUGGGCGAAAGCCUGAUGCAGCUAUGCCGCGUGUAUGAAGAAGGCCUUAGGGUUGUAAAGUACUUUCAUCGGGGAGGAAAACAAAACUAAUAAUUUUAUUUCUUGACGUUACCCGAAAAAGAAGCACCGGCUAACUCCGUGCCAGCAGCCGCGGUAAUACGGAGGGUGCUAGCGUUAAUCAGAAUUACUGGGCGUAAAGAGCACGUAGGUGGUUUUUUUAAGUCAGAUGUGAAAUCCCUGGGCUUAACCUAGGAACUGCAUUUUGAAACUGAAAUACUAGAGUAUCGUAGAGGGAGGUAGAAUUCUAGGUGUAGCGGUGAAAUGCGUAGAUAUCUGGAGGAAUACCUGUGGCGAAAGCGGCCUCCUAAACGAAUACUGACACUGAGUGCGAAAGCGUGGGGAGCAAACAGGGAUUAGAUACC
rnacentral:rRNA from 1 species